rnacentral:rRNA from 1 species
UACGUAGGGUGCGAGCGUUGUCCGGAAUUAUUGGGCGUAAAGAGCUUGUAGGCGGUUUGUCGCGUCUGCUGUGAAAACUCAGGGCUUAACCCUGAGCCUGCAGUGGGUACGGGCAGACUAGAGUGUGGUAGGGGAGACUGGAAUUCCUGGUGUAGCGGUGAAAUGCGCAGAUAUCAGGAGGAACACCGAUGGCGAAGGCAGGUCUCUGGGCCACUACUGACGCUGAGAAGCGAAAGCAUGGGGAGCGAACAGG